CUAGUUGGGGGGGUAAUGGCCCACCAAGGCGACGACGGGUAGCUGGUCUGAGAGGAUGGCCAGCCACAUUGGGACUGAGAGACGGCCCAGACUCCUACGGGAGGCAGCAGUGGGGAAUCUUGCGCAAUGGCCGAAAGGCUGACGCAGCGACGCCGCGUGGGGGAGGAAGGCCUUCGGGUUGUAAACCCCUGUUGCCCGGGACGAAUGUGCUCUUUAGAGAGCAUUGACGGUACCGGGUGAGGAAGCACCGGCUAACUCCGUGCCAGCAGCCGCGGUAAUACGGAGGGUGCAAGCGUUGUCCGGAAUCACUGGGCGUAAAGGGCGCGUAGGCGGCUCAUGAAGGCUGUGGUGAAAGUCCGGGGCUCAACCCCGGAUCGGCCGUGGCGACUCGUGGGCUGGAGCACUGUAGAGGCGGGUGGAAUUCCGGGUGUAGCGGUGGAAUGCGUAGAGAUCCGGAGGAACACCAGUGGCGAAGGCGGCCCGCUGGGCAGUGGCUGACGCUGAGGCGCGACAGCGUGGGGAGCAAACAGGAUUAGAUACCCUGGUAGUCCACGCCGUAAACGAUGGGCACUAGGUGCUUGGGGGAGCGACCCUCUGAGUGCCGGCGCUAACGCAUUAAGUGCCCCGCCUGGGGAGUACGGCCGCAAGGCUGAAACUCAAAGGAAUUGACG
rnacentral:rRNA from 1 species